rnacentral:rRNA from 1 species
AUUGCACAAUGGGCGCAAGCCUGAUGCAGCGACGCCGCGUGGGGGAUGACGGCCUUCGGGUUGUAAACCUCUUUCAGUAUCGGCGAAGCUCCAGGAUUUUUCUUGGGGUGACGGUAGGUACAGAAGAAGCACCGGCCAACUACGUGCCAGCAGCCGCGGUAAUACGUAGGGUGCGAGCGUUGUCCGGAAUUACUGGGCGUAAAGAGCUCGUAGGUGGUUUGUCACGUUGUCCGUGAAAACUCACAGCUUAACUGUGGGCGUGCGGGCGAUACGGGCAGACUGGAGUACUGUAGGGGAGACUGGAAUUCCUGGUGUAGCGGUGGAAUGCGCAGAUAUCAGGAGGAACACCGGUGGCGAAGGCGGGUCUCUGGGCAGUAACUGACGCUGAGGAGCGAAAGCGUGGGGAGCGAACAGGAUUAGAUACCCUGGUAGUCCACGCCGUAAACGGUGGGUACUAGGUGUGGGUUUCCUUCCUUUAGGGAUCCGUGCCGUAGCUAACGCAUUAAGUACCCCGCCUGGGGAGUACGGCCGCAAGGCUAAAACUCAAAGGAAUUGACGGGGGCCCGCACAAGCGGCGGAGCAUGUGGAUUAAUUCGAUGCAACGCGAAGAACCUUACCUGGGUUUGACAUGCACAGGACGCCGGUAGAGAUAUCGGUUCCCUUGUGGCCUGUGUGCAGGUGGUGCAUGGCUGUCGUCAGCUCGUGUCGUGAGAUGUUGGGUUAAGUCCCGCAACGAGCGCAACCCUUGUCUCAUGUUGCCAGCACGUAAUGGUGGGGACUCGUGAGAGACUGCCGGGGUCAACUCGGAGGAAGGUGGGGAUGACGUCAAGUCAUCAUGCCCCUUAUGUCCAGGGCUUCACACAUGCUACAAUGGCCGGUACAAAGGGCUGCGAUCCCGUGAGGGUUAGCGAAUCCUUUAAAGCCGGUCUCAGUUCGGAUUGGGGUCUGCAACUCGACCCCAUGAAGUCGGAGUCGCUAGUAAUCGCAGAUCAGCAACGCUGCGGUGAAUACGUUC